UUAGCAAGUAUAACCCAACGAAAAGAAUUUUGUAGGAUACCCCGAAACCAAACGAGCUACCCAGUGGCAUUUAACGAAUUAACCCAACUCUGUAGCAAAAGAGUGGGAAGACCACCAGGUAGAGGUAAAACGCCUAACGAGUCUGGAUAUAGCUGGUUACUUGAGGAAUGAAUUUUAGUUCAACUAUAAGCAACUAUACCACAAAGGAACGCGCUUAUAAUAUAAUUAAUUAAGGUACAGCUUAAUUAAUAAAGGAAAUAACCUAUAUAAAUGAGUAAAGCUUAUAAUUAUUAAGGGAUUUUUUUUAUCAGUAGGCCUAAAAGCAGCCAUCAACAAAAAAGCGUUAAAGCUUACUACACCAACCAUCCAAAUAAAUUUACUAAACUCAUAUAAAAAAAUCAAGUUAAUCUAUUUAUAGAAAAAUUACUGCUAAAAUGAGUAACGGGGAAUUACCUCAUCAUACAUGUGUAAAUCGAAAUGAACCAAUCACCGAUAGUUAACGAACCUUUAUAAUGCAAGACUAUACCGCAUCGUUAACCCAACACAGGAGUAUUAAGAGAAGACUUAAAGUCUAGAAAGGAACUCGGC
rnacentral:rRNA from 1 species